rnacentral:rRNA from 1 species
AGAGUUUGAUCAUGGCUCAGGAUGAACGCUAGCUACAGGCUUAACACAUGCAAGUCGAGGGGAAACGACAUCGAAAGCUUGCUUUUGAUGGGCGUCGACUGGCGCACGGGUGAGUAACGCGUAUCCAACCUGCCCACCACUUGGGGAUAACCUUGCGAAAGUAAGACUAAUACCCAAUGACGUCUCUAGAAGACAUCUGAAAAGAGAUUAAAGAUUUAUCGGUGAUGGAUGGGGAUGCGUCUGAUUAGCUUGUUGGCGGGGUAACGGCCACCAAGGCUACGAUCAGUAGGGGUUCUGAGAGGAAGGUCCCCCANAUUGGAACUGAGACACGGUCCAAACUCCUACGGGAGCA